GAUGAAGAACGUAGCGAAAUGCGAUAAGUAAUGUGAAUUGCAGAACUCAGUGAAUCAUCGAAUCUUUGAACGCACAUUGCGCCCCUUGGUAUUCCAUGGGGCAUGCCUGUUCGAGCGUCAUUUGUACCUUCAAGCCUUGCUUGGUGUUGGGUGUUUGUCUCGCCUCUGCGCGCAGACUCGCCUCAAAACAAUUGGCAGCCGGCGUAUUGAUUUCGGAGCGCAGUACAUCUCGCGCUUUGCACUCAGAACGACGACGUCCAAAAGUACAUUUUUACACUCUUGACCUCGGAUCAGGUAGGGAUACCCGCUGAACUUAAGCAUAUCAAUAAGCGGAGGA
rnacentral:misc_RNA from 1 species